CCUACGGGUGGCAGCAGUGAGGAAUAUUGGUCAAUGGGCGCGAGCCUGAACCAGCCAAGCCGCGUGAAGGAUGACGGCCCUAUGGGUUGUAAACCUCUUUUGUCGGGGAACAAAAUCCGGCACGUGUACCUUUCUGCGUGUACCCUACGAAAAAGCAUCGUCUAACUCCGUGCCAGCAGCCGCGGUAAUACGGAGGAUGCGAGCGUUAUCCGGAUUUAUUGGGUUUAACGGGGGCGUAGCCGGGCCGUUAAGUCAGAGGUAAAAUUGCGGGGCUCAACGUCGGCGAGCCGUUGAUACUGGCAGACUUGAGUGAGCGAGAGGUAAGCGGAAUUCGAGGUGUAGCGGUGAAAUGCAUAGAUAUCGCGAAGAACACCGAUUGCGAAGGCAGCGUACUGGAGCUAAACUGACGCUGAGGCACGAAAGUGUGGGGAUCGAACAGGAUUAGAUACCCGAGUAGUC
rnacentral:rRNA from 1 species